rnacentral:rRNA from 1 species
CCUGGCUCAGGAUGAACGCUAGCGGCGUGCAUGACCCAUGCAAGUCGAACGGGUGAAGAAUAAGACAGAAGGCGGGGUAAAGCGGAAGCGAGAAAUCGUGGAAGGGAAGGAACGCUGGAAGGAAUUGCCUUUACCAGUGGCGGACGGGUGAGUAACACGUAGGUAUCUGCCUCAAGGCGGGGAAUAGCUGUUCGAAAGGACAGGUAAUACCGCAUAAGAUCGAAAGAUGAAAGGUCGGAAGACCACCUUGAGAUGAGCCUGCGGCCGAUUAGCUAGUUGGUGAGGUAAUGGCCCACCAAGGCGAUGAUCGGUAGCUGGUCUGAGAGGACGAUCAGCCACACUGGAACUGACACACGGUCCAGACUCCUACGGGGGGCAGCAGGGAGGAAUAUUGCACAACGGGGGGAACCCAGGUGCAGCAACGCCGCGUGAGUGAAGAAGGCCUUCGGGUUGUAAAACUCUUUUCUGAGGGAUGAGAACGGACAGUACCUCAGGAAUAAGUCUCGGC